AAGCAGAAAGACGUGGGCGAAGGAUUCGCAAGAGGGUCAUAUUAGACAGCGACAGCGAUGACAUAUCGCUCUCAAACACGCCGAUAAAACCGACAAGCAGAGAUCGGUCAAUGGUGUCUGCAAGGGAACGACUGCAGCGCUCGAUGCAGGCACUUCAUGGAAGCAGAGUGACCCACCCAUCACAGAACAAGGCUCCUGGGGAUGCUUCACAGAGGAAGACAUUUCCCGCACGAAGUGACGUGCAGUGCUUGGAAGGUGAGCAAGGUGGCAUCCAUCGUCAUGUCAUGUCUGGUCGUGUAAGUGCUGAAGAGCGUGG